AGAUACUCACUAACGACGUUGGCUUGUCCGGUGAAUAUGGUGUACUGGAGCUCGUAGGAGACCACGCUGAACUCAUCAUCGGAGGUCCAAUGCACAGUGAUGGUGUCAUAUGAAGCUGUGCAGAGCUCUUCUCUAAUUGUGGGAGGGUUGGGAGCUGUGGGCACUCACCUCUCGGUGAUAUUCUUAGCAGUCUGUAGGAAACGCGCAUGAUCAUUCUCCUUCAGAGAGUGUUCCGCUUGGGAGAUGAGUGAUGCUGACCGCUCAAUGCACUGUUUGCAGUUUGCAAUCUGCUGAGCCAGUUUGCGAAGCCUCAUCACCUUGAACA
rnacentral:lncRNA from 10 species